rnacentral:rRNA from 1 species
CAGCAGCCGCGGUAACACGUAGGGUGCAAGCGUUAAUCGGAAUUACUGGGCGUAAAGCGUGCGCAGGCGGUUAUAUAAGUCAGAUGUGAAAUCACCGGGCUCAACCUGGGAACUGCAUUUGAGACUGUAUGGCUAGAGUGUGUCAGAGGGGGGUAGAAUUCCACGUGUAGCAGUGAAAUGCGUAGAUAUGUGGAGGAACACCGAUGGCGAAGGCAGCCCCCUGGGCUAAGAUUGACGCUCAUGCACGAAAGCGUGGGGAGCAAACAGGAUUAGAUACCCCUGUAGUCCCUGUCUCUUAUAC